GGUAUCAGAACAACCACCGCUCUGUAAAUGUGAGACAGGAAUCUGAAGUCUCUGUAACUGAACUGGAUACAAAAGCAUUUUUCUUCACUUGCAAGAUGAUGUCCCUUUUCUUCAUGUAUACAAAACUCAGUAACAUUUAAAAAGUCCACCCUGUUUGGGAAACUUUCCCCUCAAAAUCAAUUCAUUUACAAGGCAUCGCAGCCCAACAGGUGUUUUUCCAAACCACCCCUGAACUCUGAACCUUCAAAUCAUUUACAGAUCUCUUCCACUCAGAGAUGAAACCACAUCCCUGCAUGACUUGUGAAAGCAGGGGCGUGGUGGAGAGCCCGGAUCAGCAGAGCUCCUGUGCCUAGUCCAGCUGCUUUGCAACCGUGGCUGGAGCGACCGUGAAGGCUGCUGUGGUCUCAGUUGCCUUCUGGAGCUGGGAACGGAGGAGCUGUGGAUGCAAUUGCUGUGUCAUACUCUGCUUGUGCUGGAUGCUGUUAAUGUCUGUGGGGCUAAGCACAAGCUGGACACCCAUUAGCUCUGUAAUUACCCAAACUUUCACCUCUUCUGCUCAGGCUGGAGCCUGAAUGGAGCUUAACUAGCCAAAGGCAACUGGGAGACCCUAAAUUUCAAACUACAAGCACUGUCUGGUCUGACAGUAUUUUCUGUAAGAAACUAAAGCCUUCUGUCCCUGGUGAUAAGCUGGUUUUUAUUAUGAAAUAUAACAGUUGUAUUGUACAUGACUGUUCUGUACAAUGCAAUUUACAGAGUUGCUCUGGUGACAGCUGUCAUUGACAGGGUGCCCUUUACAACAGGACUUGUAUAAUGUCAAAAUUUUCAUGAUUCUAAGGGAGCAGAAAAAGAAAUAUUUCCAUGGUUGAAAAUUCCUGUUAGGUAACUAUCAUUGAAGCGUGUACAAGAUUGCAUGUCAAAACAUUCUUAUUGUUAGCUGGUGGGAAUUACAUUGACUGACAGCAGCAGUUUAACAACUGAGAUGCAGUGUAGUUUGUUAUUUUACUUGUUUUUCCAUAGAUCAGCUCUAGUAUUUUCGGAGACUAUCAUUUUGAACUUAUAAGCCUCUCUUUAGAAAUGCAUACUCCCUUCCUCCCACUUUCAGUAUCUUUAUCAAGUUGGCACAAGACAAGCA